AUAUGCCGAGAGGUGAAACGAAUUUCGCCUGGGGAUGAGCUCGCGUCUGAUUAGCUUGUUGGUGGGGUAACAGCCUACCAAGGCUUCGAUCAGUAGCUGGUCUGAGAGGACGAUCAGCCACACUGGGACUGAGACACGGCCCAGACUCCUACGGGAGGCAGCAGUGGGGAAUUUUCCGCAAUGGGCGCAAGCCUGACGGAGCAACGCCGCGUGAGGGAUGAAGGCCUUUGGGCUGUAAACCUCUUUUCUCAAGGAAGAAGAUCUGACGGUACUUGAGGAAUAAGCCACGGCUAAUUCCGUGCCAGCAGCCGCGGUAAUACGGGAGUGGCAAGCGUUAUCCGGAAUUAUUGGGCGUAAAGCGUCCGCAGGCGGCCGUUUAAGUCUGUUGUUAAAUCGUGGAGCUCAACUCCAUCACGGCAAUGGAAACUGUUCGGCUUGAGUAUGGUAGGGGCAGAGGGAAUUUCCGGUGUAGCGGUGAAAUGCGUAGAUAUCGGGAAGAACACCAGUGGCAAAAGCGCUCUGCUGGGCCAUUACUGACGCUCAUGGACGAAAGCCAGGGGAGCGAAAGGGAUUAGAUACCCCUGUAGUCCUGGCCGUAAACGAUGAACACUAGAUGUUGGGGGAAUCGACCCCUCCGGUGUCGUAGCUAACGCGUUAAGUGUUCCGCCUGGGGAGUACGCACGCAAGUGUGAAACUCAAAGGAAUUGACGGGGGCCCGCACAAGCGGUGGAGUAUGUGGUUUAAUUCGAUGCAACGCGAAGAACCUUACCAAGGCUUGACAUCCUGCGAAUCUCCAAGAAAUUGGAGAGUGCCUUCGGGAACGCAGUGACAGGUGGUGCAUGGCUGUCGUCAGCUCGUGUCGUGAGAUGUUGGGUUAAGUCCCGCAACGAGCGCAACCCACGCUUUUAGUUGCCAGCAUUCAGUUGGGCACUCUAGAAAGACUGCCGGUGACAAACCGGAGGAAGGUGUGGACGACGUCAAGUCAUCAUGCCCCUUACGUCUUGGGCUACACACGUACUACAAUGCUGCGGACAAAGAGU
rnacentral:rRNA from 1 species